UGGGGAAUUUUGGACAAUGGGGGAAACCCUGAUCCAGCCAUCCCGCGUGGGCGAUGAAGGCCUUCGGGUUGUAAAGCACUUUUGGCAGGAAAGAAACGUCAUGGGUUAAUACCCCGUGAAACUGACGGUACCUACAGAAUAAGCACCGGCUAACUACGUGCCAGCAGCCGCGGUAAUACGUAGGGUGCAAGCGUUAAUCGGAAUUACUGGGCGUAAAGCGUGCGCAGGCGGUUCGGAAAGAAAGAUGUGAAAUCCCAGAGCUCAACUUUGGAACUGCAUUUUUAACUACCGGGCUAGAGUGUGUCAGAGGGAGGUGGAAUUCCGCGUGUAGCAGUGAAAUGCGUAGAUAUGCGGAGGAACACCGAUGGCGAAGGCAGCCUCCUGGGAUAACACUGACGCUCAUGCACGAAAGCGUGGGGAGCAAACAGG
rnacentral:rRNA from 1 species